AGCAGUCGCCGCGGUAACACGUAGGGUGCGAGCGUUAAUCGGAUUUACUGGGCGUAAAGCGUGCGUAGGCGGCUUUUUAAGUCGGAUGUGAAAUCCCUGAGCUUAACUUAGGAAUUGCAUUCGAUACUGGGAAGCUAGAGUAUGGGAGAGGAUGGUAGAAUUCCAGGUGUAGCGGUGAAAUGCGUACAGAUCUGGAGGAAUACCGAUGGCGAAGGCAGCCAUCUGGCCUAAUACUGACGCUGAGGUACGAAAGCAUGGGGAGCAAACAGGAUUAGAUACCCCUGUAGUCCCUGUCUCUUAUAC
rnacentral:rRNA from 1 species